rnacentral:sRNA from 1 species
AUUAUACUAUUGGUGGUGCAUUAUUCUAGUUAUACUAGCUAUUACGAGGGUGGGGCUAAAAAUCCACUAAAGGGCACAUCGAUGAAGUUUCUUGUUUAUGCGCGAAAUGCCAGUUUUGUGUGUUUUCAGGAAGUAAGAUUUUAGGGAGUUAUAUAAUGGCAUAUAUAACCACACCCUAUUAUCGCGGAGGCUUGGAAGAUUGACUUUUCCGAGUAAAACCUAUAUAAAGUGCCAAGACACAAUAUAUAGUGUAGCCUGUCUCGAGUGAGGAUAUUGGGAUUAACAUUAUCGUUGAUAUGUGGCCAAUUUUUAAUUAUACAUAUUGACAGUUAUGAAACUAUCAUUGCAAAAAAGACUAGUAAUAGAUUAAAGUAUAUUAAGGAAAACUUCUAGAAUGUUUGCCAAUCAGGCAUAAAAACUUGAGGAUUAAAGUACGGAUUUAAGUGGCCGUCUGGAAGCCAAAAUGAACUUGGCUAUUUUCUGUAAUCGGAAACGGCUGAACAGUAAUGUUUAGUAGAAAAUAGAGAAAUUCAUCUAGACCUAAACCGUAAAGUUUACUUAGGUUUUACCACCAUAACAUUUUU